CAAACUCGGUGGCAGGAUCGAAUUCACUCGAACGCACCCAACACAGCUCAAAUGUCGCUUGAGCUGCAUGCCAGUGAUGUGAACUGAAGCAAGUACAAGAGCUGUGCCUUUCGACUUCAAAAGCUAAAGAUGGAGCAAUUGGACAAGACAACACAGUCACUUCUGGAAGCUGCACAGGCCAUUGCCUUGUUGGAGGCGCUCCCAAAAAUGUUCCCUUCCCCAACCGCCCCUCCAAGAAAACUCAAGUCGGCAAGUGAGGCACUGUACCAUGUCCUUGAGCCACCUAAGGACCCCAAUGUCUUCUUGCGUAACUGAUAACCUUGCCAAGGGAAAUGCUUCUGGAAUCACUCAUGAUACUGAUGGGAUGCUACUCUGUGUUCCAGUUGACCUAUUCCAAGUGUAUUGCUAGGCUAUUGUCCAUAAUACAAACAGAGGUACUCAAAGAUUUUAUUCACGAGAGUGACAAGACGACAACAUAUAAAAAGGUUCUUGCUGACUGUCAAGUAUUCAUCCAAACCUAGUCUGUCUCUCCCUCUAUCUUUGUCAACCUCUCUCUGUAUGUCACUCUUCUGUAUGUCAC
ensembl:lncRNA